UAUGCAACGCCCAGAACCACACCUGGUUUUAACAUCCACAAAACUUAGCAGAGAUGGUUUGGUGCCUUCGGGGACUGUGAGACAGGUGCUGCAUGGCUGUCGUCAGCUCGUGUUGUGAAAUGUUAGGUUAAGUCACGCAACGAGCGCAACCCUUAUCCUUUGUUGCCAGCGGUUAGGCCGGGAACUCAAAGGAGACUGCCAGUGAUAAACUGGAGGAAGGUGGGGAUGACGUCAAGUCAUCAUGGCCCUUACGACCAGGGGUACACACGUGCUACAAUGGCAUAUACAAAGAGAAGCGACCUCGCGAGAGCAAGCGGACCUCAUAAAGUAUGUCGUAGUCCGGAUUGGAGUCUGCAACUCGACUCCAUGAAGUCGGAAUCGCUAGUAAUCGUAGAUCAGAAUGCUACGGUGAAUACGUUGCCCGGGCCUUGUACACGCCGUCCGUCACACCAUGGGAGUGGUUUGCAAAAGUAAGUAGGUCAACGUUAGU
rnacentral:rRNA from 1 species